rnacentral:rRNA from 1 species
AGGGCACCACCAGGAGUGGAGCCUGCGGCUUAAUUUGACUCAACACGGGAAAACUCACCCGGCCCGGACACUGGAAGGAUUGACAGAUUGAGAGCUCUUUCUUGAUUCAGUGGGUGGUGGUGCAUGGCCGUUCUUAGUUGGUGGAGUGAUUUGUCUGGUUAGUUCCGAUAACGAACGAGACUCUAGCCUACUAAAUAGAUCGUCGGCUUACAAACGCCGGCGAGACUUCUUAGAGGGACAGGCGGUGAUUCAACCGCACGAAACAGAGCAAUAACAGGUCUGUGAUGCCCUUAGAUGUCCGGGGCCGCACGCGCGCUACACUGAAGUGAUCAGCGUGCUUUUUCAACCUACUCUGUCAAGAGUGGGGAACCCAAUGAACCUUCUUCGUGAUUGGGAUAGGGGAUUGUAAUUAUUCCCCUUGAACGAGGAAUUCCCAGUAAGCGCGAGUCAUAAGCUCGCGUUGAUUACGUCCCUGCCCUUUGUACACACCGCCCGUCGCUACUACCGAUUGAAUGUUUU